GAUCAGAGUAAGCAUUACUUAGCAACAACUAAAACACUGGUGUGUUAUCAGCACUGUUCUCAGGCUAAAUCGAAAACACAGCACUGCACCAGCUACUAGGAAG